GACAGAGGGUGCAAACGUUGCUCGGAAUCACUGGGCGUAAAGGGCGUGUAGGCGGGCAGGUAAGUCGGGCGUGAAAUCCCUGAGCUCAACUCAGGAACUGCACUCGAAACUACUUGUCUUGAGUACCGGAGAGGAAAGCGGAAUACCUGGUGUAGAGGUGAAAUUCGUAGAUAUCAGGUGGAACACCAGUGGCGAAGGCGGCUUUCUGGAACGGUACUGACGCUGAGACGCGAAAGCGUGGGGAGCGAACAGG
rnacentral:rRNA from 1 species